AAUACUCCCGGCCCUCAGUGAGAGAUGGGAUCCCUCCGCAGCUUGAACAAGGCCGUCCAGAUACACAGAGCAGAAGGUUCCUGUGGGAGAGAAUUAGUGGAAGCAACAGCAGCAUUUGUUGCAACCAAGCAGCUGGAGAGGUGCCAGAUCCCCUCUCCCAGACAGCGAAUGAGAAGAUCCGUGGCACCCAGCCCCCGCCUCCACCCCCACCAAAGAAUUUCACUCACCUUGUAAACAUCAUAGGACUCGAUCCUGGUGUCGAAGCAGUUGUAGAGGUUGUUGAGCAUCUCGACAACUUGCAGGGGGGUGCAGGAGGCAGCGAUGCUAGUGAACCCCACGAUGUCAGAGAAAAAGAUAGUCACCUGGCAGAGGCAGAUGGGUGGCAUGAAGCUAAGGUUGCCAGGGAAGGUGGCAGAGCUUUUGAAGUCUUUGUGUGUCUUACAUUGAUUAAAAACUACAAACAAGGACCUGAUCCUGCAGUCCCCGCUCAGCGAGGUAGUCCCAUUGGAAGGCAUAAGGCUGAUUUACCAGAAUAAUGGUUCUGGGACCAGGACCCAAAUUUUCCCAAACCUAAUGCUGAGCAAAAGUGCUGAAACUCCCGUAUGCCGAGUGAAAUGCACCUCUGUGUGAAGGACCAGCACACGGUGGAUGCACUACUGAAGCUUUAUUUCAAGGACUUUAAUCGAACUGCCUGCCUGGAAAAGGGAUGCGGGAUUGGGCCAUUGAUUUCCAAGAUUCUUCAUUUGUAUCAACUUAAAUUACUUUUACUAGCAGGAAGUUUUAAAACAGGAUGUACUAAGGUUUCAGCUCAGUGAGCAGGCCCCUUCCACAGCUGGGGCCUAUUUUUGUUUCAUUAUUCAAAUAGUGGCGAUGACUGAAUUCAAGUAUCUGCACAGAUUCAGAAACAAAAUCUCAAGAUUGUGUUUUGUUCACAUUAGGAAAUAUUAAUAACUGGGCAUUUUUUCCCUUCACAUAAAGCCUGUUUUUCCCUAUUCUUGUUAAUCAAAGAACUUACUGAGAAGGGAAGAUACAUUUUAAAAACAACCCUGCACAACUGCCAUGAAAAAGAAAAUGUGUGUUAGUGGCCUUGACAAAUAAUUCACUAUCCUGUGC